CGAAUUUAGUACUGCUGAGCAAAUCUGUACAGAAAUCACUACGUGAAAUACAAAUUUCUUGGUAUUGUAUCUCCUCUACCCCAUUGAGCCAAAUUAUAAGUUGAACCCAGCUAGCACUCUAUGAGAAAGCCACUGAAAAGCAAGUACCAACAACAAAACUCUUGCAGUUAGUGAUUGAGAAUUUCCCACUUUGCACGCUGGUCGCCUCAAUAUAUUUCUCGUCAGGAGCAGCAUUUGCGGAAUCUAGGGAAGUGUUUGCAGCCAUUUUUUGUCUGAUUCUGUAAUCUUAUUUGGUUAACAACACUGGUGCAUGUAAAUUUGUUGAGGCAUGGUCUUUUCUGCUUUCACUUUGCUGACUGUUGUUUUUUCAGGCCUGGUCUUCCUUUCUACCAACCCAUGGAAGAAAGUUCUGUUGCAGUGAAAGGGGAGAAGCAACCUUCCAUGUAAUACGGACAACUGCAGGUGACGACAUUGUCUCCAUGGUAGCCAAGUUGAACAAAUUCACUCCGUUACAUACUUCCUUUCGAUCUUUAGUGCAAGAUCAGGCUGGUCAUGUCUGCUGAUUAUAUUGAUUUGGAUAUGAAGCCGUACGAUAUAAUCUGAAUCAGGGUGGCAAUGAUUAGGGAGGAUGAGGAAUGGUUGCUGCCCAGUGCAUAAAUGGAAGCCAGUGGGCAGCUUCAUCCGAGGGCUCAAAGCAAACAGUAGUUUGAUUCUGAUGGAUGGAAAAACAACAAAAACUCUCGUUUCUUCUGUCACUUUGAAUGGAUAUCUGAGCUCUUGUCAUGUUCCCUCUUCAAAACAGAGACUUGUAUUAACGUGAUGAUUGUAGCACUUCCACUUUCAAUCCCUCUGCCCCGUCGUCAGAUUGAAUGAAUUAAUAACACACAUACUCCGCAGCGGAAUCGGUGGUGAAUUUGUCGAGGCAUGCAGUUUAAUUUCUUACUACUAUUGUAUAAUCGCAACAAUACAAUGAGGAAUCAUAUCGUUGUACCAAAAA